GCGAGUCUGGCCGAGUGGUUAAGGCGUUGUGUUUAGGUCGCUCCAGGGUGCUGGACCAUACUUGAACCGCAAUGGGCUCUGCCCGCGUAGGUUCGAUCCCUACGGCUCGCA